rnacentral:rRNA from 1 species
UAGGGAAUCUUCCACAAUGGGCGAAAGCCUGAUGGAGCAACGCCGCGUGUGUGAUGAAGGCUUUCGGGUCGUAAAGCACUGUUGUAUGGGAAGAACAGCUAGAAUAGGGAAUGAUUUAGUUUGACGGUACC